GAUGAACGCUGGCGGCGUGCUUAAUACAUGCAAGUCGAGCGAACGGACGAUGAGCUUGCUUCUCUGACGUUAGCGGCGGACGUGUGAGUAACACGUGUAUAACCUACCUAUAUUACUGGUAUAACUUCGGGAAUCCGGAGCUAAUACCGGAUGAGAUUUUGAUCCGCAUGGUUCGUAGGUAAAAUACGGUCUUGCUGUCACCUAUCGAUGGAUACGCGCUGCAUUAGGUAGUUGUUAAGGUAACGGCUUACCAAGGCAACGAUGCAUAGACGACCUGAGAGGGUGAUAGGCCACACUGGAACUGAGACACGGUCCAGACUCCUACGGGAGGCAGCAGUAGGGAAUCUUCCGCAAAGGGCGAAAGCCUGACGGAGCAACGCCGCGUGAGUGAUGAAGGUCUUCGGAUCGUAAAACUCUGUUAUUAGGGAAGAACAUAUGUGUAAGUAACUGUGCACAUCUUGACGGUACCUAAUCAGAAAGCCACGGCUAACUACGUG
rnacentral:rRNA from 1 species